rnacentral:rRNA from 1 species
GACGAACGCUGGCGGCGUGCCUAAUACACGCAAGUUGAGCGCUGAAGGUUGGUACUUGUACCAACUGGAUGAGCAGCGAACGGGUGAGUAACGCGUGGGGAAUCUGCCUUUGAGCGGGGGACAACAUUUGGAAACGAAUGCUAAUACCGCAUAAAAACUUUAAACACAAGUUUUAAGUUUGAAAGAUGCAAUUGCAUCACUCAAAGAUGAUCCCGCGUUGUAUUAGCUAGUUGGUGAGGUAAAGGCUCACCAAGGCAAUGAUACAUAGCCGACCUGAGAGGGUGAUCGGCCACAUUGGGACUGAGACACGGCCCAAACUCCUACGGGAGGCAGCAGUAGGGAAUCUUCGGCAAUGGACGAAAGUCUGACCGAGCAACGCCGCGUGAGUGAAGAAGGGUUUCGGAUCGUAAAACUCUGUUGGUAGAGAAGAACGUUGGUGAGAGUGGAAAGCUCAUCAAGUGACGGUAACUACCCAGAAAGGGACGGCUAACUACGUG